rnacentral:rRNA from 1 species
UACAGAGGGUGCAAGCGUUAAUCGGAAUUACUGGGCGUAAAGCGUGCGUAGACGGUUAUUUAAGUCAGGUGUGAAAGCCCAGGGCUCAACCUUGGAAUUGCAUUUGAGACUGAAUAGCUAGGGUGCGGAAGAGGGAAGCGGAAUUUCCGGUGUAGCGGUGAAAUGCGUAGAUAUGCGGAGGAACACCGAUGGCGAAGGCAAUCCCCUGGGCCUGCACUGACGCUCAUGCACGAAAGCGUGGGGAGCAAACAGG